rnacentral:lncRNA from 1 species
UCUGGAUUCCUUCGCCAAGGCAAUUGCUCCAGUAUUGUCACAAAAGAUUUUCAUUGGACCCGAUGCACUAGGUAUGACACCUAGAUCGGAUAUGAACUCCUUCAUCCAGACUCCUUCAUUAGCUGCUUCCGAAGCUGCUAUGUAUUCCGCUUCACAUGUAGAUCCCGCUACGACGCUUUGUUUAGAACUGCACCAACUGACAGCUCCACCGUUUAAUGUAAAUACGUAUCCGGUUUGCGAUUUCGAAUCGUCCGGAUCAGUGUCAAAGCUUGCAUCAACGUAACCACUUACGAUGAGCUCUUUGUCACCUCCAUAUACGAGAAACAUCUCCUUAGUCCUUUUCAGGUACUUCAGGAUAUUCUUGACCGCUGUCCAGUGAUCCACUCCUGGAUUACUUUGGUACCUCCCUGCUAAGCUAAUAGCAAGGCACACAUCUGGUCUUGUACACAGCAUUGCAUACAUGAUAGAGCCUAUGGCUGAAGCAUAGGGAACAUCUUUCAUUUUCUCUCUAUCCUCUGCAGUGGUCGGGCAUUGAGUCUUACUCAACUUCACACCUUGUAGUACAGGCAAGAACCCUUUCUUUGCUUGAUCCAUUUUGAACUUCUUCAAAACUUUGUCAAGGUAUGUGCUUUGUGAAAGUCCAAUUAAGCGUCUUGAUCUAUCUCUAUAGAUCUUGAUGCCCAAUAUGUAAGCAGCUUCACCGAGGUCCUUCAUUGAAAAACUCUUAUUCAAGUAUCCCUUUAUGCUAUCCAGAAAUUCUAUAUCAUUUCCGAUCAGCAAUAUGUCAUCCACAUAUAAUAUCAGAAAUGCUACAGAGCUCCCACUCACUUUCUUGUAAAUACAGGCUUCUCCAAAAGUCUGUACAAACCCAAAUGCUUUGAUCACACUAUCAAAACGUUUAUUCCAACUCCGAGAUGCUUGCACCAGUCCAUAAAUGGAUCGCUGGAGUUUGCAUACUUUGUUAGCUCCCUUUGGAUCGAUAAAACCUUCUGGUUGCAUCAUAUACAACUCUUCUUCCAGAAAUCCAUUCAGGAAUGCAGUUUUUACAUCCAUCUGCCAAAUUUCAUAAUCAUAAAAUGCGGCAAUUGCUAACAUGAUUCGGACAGACUUAAGCAUCGCUACGGGUGAGAAGGUCUCAUCGUAGUCAAUCCCUUGAACUUGUCGGAAACCCUUUGCGACAAGUCGAGCUUUGUAGACAGUAAUAUUACCGUCAGCGUCGGUCUUCUUCUUAAAGAUCCACUUGUUCUCUAUUGCUUGCCGACCUUCGGGCAAGUCAACCAAAGUCCAUACUUUGUUUUCAUACAUGGAUCCCAUCUCAGAUUUCAUGGCUUCAAACCAUUUUGCGGAAUCUGGGCUCACCAUCGCUUCUUCAUAGUUCGUAGGUUCAUCAUGAUAUAGUAGCAUGACUUCCAGAACAGGAUUACCGUACCACUCUGGUGCGGAUCUUACUCUGGUUGAUCUACGAGGUUCUGUAGUAACUUGAUCUGAAGCUUCAUGAUCAACAUCAUCAACUUCCUCACUACUUGGUGUAGAUGUCUCAGAAACCGGUUUCUGAGAUAAACUACUUUCCAAUAAGGGAGAAGGUACAGUUACCUCAUCAAGUUCUACUUUCCUCCCACUCACUUCUUUCGAGAGAAACUCCUUCUCUAGAAAGGAUCCAUUUUUAGCAACAAAUGUCUUGCCUUCGGAUCUGUGAUAGAAGGUGUACCCAACUGUCUCCUUUGGGUAUCCUAUGAAGACACAUUUCUCCGAUUUGGGUUCGAGCUUAUCAGGUUGAAGCUUUUUCACAUAAGCAUCGCAGCCCCAAACUUUAAGAAACGACAACUUUGGUUUCUUGCCAAACCAUAGUUCAUAAGGUGUCGUCUCAACGGAUUUUGACGGUGUUCUAUUCAACGUGAAUGCGGCCGUCUCAAGUGCAUAACCCCAAAAUGAUAGCGGUAAAUCUGUAAGAGACAUCAUAGAUCGCACCAUAUCUAGUAAAGUGCGAUUACGACGUUCGGACACACCAUUACGCUGUGGUGUUCCGGGUGGCGUGAGUUGCGAAACUAUUCCGCAUUGUUUCAAAUGUAGACCAAAUUCGUAACUCAUAUAUUCUCCUCCACGAUCUGAUCGUAGAAACUUUAUUUUCUUGUUACGAUGAUUUUCAACUUCACUCUGAAAUUCUUUGAACUUUUCAAAUGUUUCAGACUUGUGUUUCAUUAAGUAGAUAUACCCAUAUCUGCUCAAAUCAUCUGUGAAGGUGAGAAAAUAACGAUAUCCGCCAUGAGCCUCAACAUUCAUCGGACCACAUACAUCCGUAUGUAUGAUUUCCAACAAAUCUGUUGCUCUCUCCAUAGUACCGGAGAACGGUGUUUUAGUCAUCUUGCCCAUGAGGCACGGUUCGCAAGUGCCAAGUGAUUCAUAAUCAAGUGACUCCAAAAGUCCAUCAGUAUGGAGUUUCUUCAUGCGCUUUACACCGAUAUGACCUAAACGGCAGUGCCACAAAUAAGUUGCACUUUCAUUAUCAACUCUGCAUCUUUUGGUUUCAACAUUAUGAAUAUGUGUAUCACUACUAUCGAGAUUCAUCAAGAAUAGACCACUCUUUAAGGGUGCAUGACCAUAAAAGAUGUUACUCAUAUAAAUAGAACAACCAUUAUUCUCUGAUUUAAAUGAAUAACCGUCUCGCAUCAAACAAGAUCCAGAUAUAAUGUUCAUGCUCAACGCAGGCACCAAAUAACAAUUAUUUAGGUCUAAUACUAAUCCCGAAGGUAGAUGUAGAGGUAGCGUGCCGACCGCGAUCAGAUCGACUUUGGAACCAUUUCCCACGCGCAUCGUCACCUCGUCCUUUGCUAGUGUCCGCUUAAUCUGUAGUCCCUGUUUCGAGUUGCAAAUAUUAGCAACAGAACCAGUAUCAAAUACCCAGGUGCUACUGCGAGCUCUAGUAAGGUACACAUCAAUAACAUGUAUAUCACAUAUACCUUUGUUCACCUUGCCAUCCUUCUUAUCCGCCAAAUACUUGGGGCAGUUCCGCUUCCAGUGACCAGUCUGCUUGCAGUAGAAGCACUCAGUUUCAGGCUUAGGUCCAGAUCUGGGUUUCUUCUCUUGAGCAGCAACUUGCUUGCUUUUCUUCUUGAAGUUCCCCUUCUUCUUCCCUUUGCCCUUCUUCUUGAAACUAGUGGUCUUAUUGACCAUCAACACUUGAUGCUCCUUCUUGAUUUCUACCUCCGCAGCCUUUAGCAUUGCGAAGAGCUCGGGCAUAGUCUUUACUAACCCUUGCAUAUUAUAGUUCAUCACGAAGCCUUUGUAGCUUGGUGGCAGUGAUUGAAGAAUUCUGUCAAUGACACAAUCAUCCGGAAGAUUAACUCCCAGCUGACUCAAGUGAUUGUAAUACCCAGACAUUCUGAGUAUGUGCUCACUGACAGACCCAUUCUCCUCCAUUUUGCAGCUAUAGAACUUAUUGGAGACUUCAUAUCUCUCAAUCCGGGCAUUCUGUUGGAAUAUUAACUUCAACUCCUGGAACAUCUCAUAUGCUCCAUGGUUCUCAAACCGACGUUGAAGUCCCGGUUCUAAGCCGUAAAGCAUGGCACACUGAACUAUCGAGUAGUCAUCAGCUUUGCUCUGCCAGACGUUCAUAACAUCUGGCGUUGCUCCAGCAGCAGGCCUGACACCUAGCGGUGCAUCCAGGACGUAACUCUUCUGUGCAGCAAUGAGGAUAAUCCUCAAGUUACGGACCCAGUCCGUGUAAUUGCUACCAUCAUCUUUCAACUUUGCUUUCUCAAGGAACGCAUUAAAAUUCAACGGAACAACAGCACGAGCCAUCUAUCUACAAUCAACAUAAACAAGCAAGAUACUAUCAGGGACUAAGUUCAUGAUAAAUUUAAGUUCAAUUAAUCAUAUUACUUAAGAACUCCCACUUAGAUAGACAUCCCUCUAAUCAUCUAAGUGAUCACGUGAUCCAAAUCAAACUAAACCAUAACCGAUCAUCACGUGAAAUGGAUUAGUUCUCAAUGGUGAACAUCAUCAUGUUGAUCAUAUCUACUAUAUGAUUCACGCUCGACCUUUCGGUCUCCGUGUUCCGAGGCCAUAUCUGCAUAUGCUAGGCUCGUCAAGUAUAACCCGAGUAUUCUGCGUGUGCAAAACUGGCUUGCACCCGUUGUAGAUGGACGUAGAGCUUAUCACACCCGAUCAUCACGUGGUGUCUGGGCACGACGAACUUUGGCAACGGUGCAUACUCGGGGAGAACACUUCUUGAUAAUUUAGUGAGAGAUCAUCUUAUAAUGCUACUGUCAAUCAAAGCAAGAUAAGAUGCAUAAAAGAUAAACAUCACAUGCAAAUCAAUAUAAGUGAUAUGAUAUGGUCAUCAUCAUCUUGUGCUUCAUGAUCUCCAUCUUUGCAGCACCAUCAUGAUUACCAUCGUCACCGGCGCGACACCUUGAUCUCCAUCGUAGCAUCGUUGUCGUCUCGCCAAUCUUAUGCUUCUACGACUAUCGCUACCGCUUAGUGAUAAAGUAAAGCAUUACAGGGCGAUUGCAUUGCAUACAAUAAAGCGACAACCAUAUGGCUCCUGCCAGUUGCCGAUAACUCGGUUACAAAACAUGAUCAUCUCAUACAAUAAAAUAUAGCAUCACGUCUUGACCAUAUCACAUCACAUCAUGCCCUGCAAAAACAAGUUAGACGUCCUCUACUUUGUUUGUUGCAAGUUUUACGUGGCUGCUACGGGCUUAAGCAAGAACUCAUCUUACCUACGCAUCAAAACCACAACGAUAGUUCGUCAAAUAGACUCCGUUUUAACCUUCUCAAGGACCGGGCGUAGCCACACUUGGUUCAACUAAAAUUGGUGAGAUGUCUCCCGCAAGCCAUCUGUGUGCAAAGCACGUCGAGGGAACCGGUCUCGCGUAAGCGUACGCGUAAGGUUGGUCCGGGUCAUCUCAUCCAACAAUACCGCCGAACCAAAGUAUGACAUGCUAGUAGGCAGUAUGACUUGUAUCGUCCACAACUCACUUGUGUUCUACUCGUGCAUAUAACAUCAAACCAUAAAAAACCUGGCUCGGAUGCCACUGUUGGGGAACGUAGUAAUUUCAAAAAAUUUCCUACGCACACGCAAGAUCAUGGUGAUGCAUAGCAACGAGAGGGAGAGUGUUGUCUACAUACCCUUGUAGACCCGAAGCGAAAGCGAUCACAACGUAGAGGAAGUAGUCGUACGUUCUCCUCGCGAUCCGACCGAUCCCGGCGCCGUUACUCCGACGCCCCCGAGUUCUUGGCACACGUUCAGCUCGAUGACGCUCUUCGGGCUCCGAUCCAGCAAAGCUCCGGAGAGAGAGUUCCGUCAGCACGACGGCGUGGUGACGAUCUUGAUGAUCUACCGGCGCAGGGCUUCGCCUAAGCACUGCAACGAUAUAUUCGAGGUGUAAUAUGGUGGAGGGGGGCACCGCACACGGCUAAGGAACGAUCACGAAGAUCAACUUAUGUGUUCUAGGGUGCCCCCCUGCCCCCGUAUAUAAAGGAGCAAGGGGGAGGGGCUGGCCGGCCAAGCCUUGGCGCGCCAGGGAGUCCUACUCCCUCCGGGAGUAGGAUUCCCCCCCCCCCCAAUCCUACUUGGACUAGGACUUGCCAAGGGGGAAAGAGGAAGAGAGGGGGCCGGCCACCCUCUCCUAAUCCUAAUAGGACUAGGGGAGGGGGAGGCGCGCGGCUAGCCCUAGGGCAGCCCCUUUCUCCUUUUUCCUAAGGCCCAAUAUGGCCCAUAUGUUUCCCGGGGGGGUUCCGGUAACCUCCCGGUACUCCGGUAAAUUCCCGUUUUCACUCGGAACCAUUCCGAAGUCCAAACAUAGGCUUCCAAUAUAUCAAUCUUUACGUCUCGACCAUUUCGAGACUCCUCGUCAUGUCCGUGAUCACAUCCGGGACUCCGAACUCCUUCGGUACAUCAAAAUACACAAACUCAUAAUAACCGUCAUCGAAACCUUAAGCGUGCGGACCCUACGGUUCGAGAACAAUGUAGACAUGACCGAGACACGUCUCCGGUCAAUAACCAAUAGCGGGACCUGGAUGCCCAUAUUGGCUCCUACAUAUUCUACGAAGAUCUUUAUCGGUCAGACCGCAUAACAACAUACGUUAGUUCCCUUUGUCAUCGGUAUGUUACUUACCCGAGAUUCGAUCGUCGGUAUCCAAUACCUAGUUCAAUCUCGUUACUGGUAAGUCUCUUUACUCGUUCCGUAAUACAUCAUCUCACAACUAACUCAUUAGUUGUAGUGCUUGCAAGGCUUAUGUGAUGUGCAUUACCGAGAGGGCCCAGAGAUACCUCUCCGACUAUCGGAGUGACAAAUCCUAAUCUCGAAAUACGCCAACCCAACAUCUACCUUUGGAGACACCUGUAGUACUCCUUUAUAAUCACCCAGUUACGUUGUGACGUUUGGUAGCACCCAAAGUGUUCCUCCGGUAAACGGGAGUUGCAUAAUCUCAUAGUCAUAGGAACAUGUAUAAGUUAUGGAUGAAAGCAAUAGCAACACACUAAACGAUCAGGUGCUAAGCUAAUGGAAAUGGGUCAUGUCAAUCAGAUCAUUCAACCAAUGAUGUGAUCUCGUUAAUCAAAUGACAACUCCUUUGUCUAUGGUUAGGAAACUUAACCAUCUUUGAUUAACGAGCUAGUCAAGUAGAGGCAUACUAGUGACACUCUGUUUGUCUAUGUAUUCACACAUGUAUUAUGUUUCCGGUUAAUACAAUUCUAGCAUGAAUAAUAAACAUUUAUCAUGAAAUAAGGAAAUAAAUAAUAACUUUAUUAUUGCCUCUAGGGCAUAUUUCCUUCAGUCAUCGGCGACCGGAUCGUCCGUGAUGAAGCAGCCAGUAGUCGCGCUGAGCGCUCCCCAAAAGCCUUAUCACCCUUCUCCCGUACAGGACUCAAAAUGUGCGGUUUUGGAAGCCUACUGUCCCGACGUGCCGUGCAUGCCGCAAGCCGGGAUGAGGAAGAUAGUAGCAGCUCAGAGAUGGAACCAAUAGCGAGGGAAGGAGUAGUUCUAGUGCGUCUCUCUGGGAGGAGCGACCUCCCUUUUAUAGGCGCAAGAGAAGGAGGCGAGAGGGCAGCGACGGGAGGCGAAACGAAGAGACGGAGAUGAAGCGAACAACCAGCGGCCGAAGGGCUGCACCGUUCGCAUUCGAACUCCACUUUCGCAAAAAUCUUUUUAGCUUCUGCGUGACCUUUCGUAUACCCGUAGUGCGUGGCAAAAAUUUAGACAUCGGCUCAGCUCAUUCCCGCAACCCGCGGCACGGCGCGUCGUAACGAGGCGUGACGUGGCGUGGCGAGGCGGGCGGCGGAGGAGGAGCACACGUGGAUGUCCCUCUUGUUCUCAUGCUCAUACAAGUGGGGAAAGAACCUCCCUUAUAAUGAGGUCCAACUCCCUCUAAACUAGCAAUGUUGGACUAAACUUUAGUUCCACCUCUUGCCUUGCACAAAUGGGUUGCGUGGGCCUCUAGGAUUUAUUAGGAAUUUCUGAAAUUGCUAUUGGGCUAGGCCCAAAAUAGACAAAAUUCCAACACUCGCCCACCAGAUUCCAGAGGCACACAAAAUUUGCCUUUGGUUCCAAAACACUGUUUUAUAUACCGGUACUGCAGUGGAGACUGUUAAGUUGAACUUCCACCUAAAACUCUAUGCUACACUAUAGCCAAAGCGACUCAAGAUCUUUUCCACAUAGUGAGAUUGAAGCAAUGUAAUCCCACCAUCAUCGUCUCUCAACAACUUGAUAUUAAGAAUGACAUCAGCCAAUCCUAAAUCCUUCAUCUCAAAACAGCGAGAUUGGAAAUCCUUGACCUCCUUAAUAACAUUCAGAUUUGUUCCGAAGAUCACUAUGUCGUCAACAUACAAGCAAAGGAUAACUCCCUCACCUCCACCAUGGCGAUAGUACACACAUUUGUCAGCUUUGUUUACAACAAAGCCUGCAGCUGUUAAAGUUCUUUCGAACUUCUCAUGCCACUGUUUAGGUGCUUGGUUGAGUCCAUACAAAGACUUUAGCAACUUGCACACUUUUCCUUCCUGACCAUCUAGUACAAACCCAUCUGGUUGUUCCAUAUAAAUUUCCUCGUCCAACUCUCCAUUUAAGAAAGCAGUCUUAACAUCCAUUUGAUGAACGAGAAGACCAUGCGAGGCAGCUAGUGAAAGUUGAACUCGAAUAGUGGUCAGUCGAGCCACAGGUGAGUAAGUACCAAAGAAGUCUUCACCUUCCUUUUGGGUAUAACCCUUAGCCACGAACCGAGCCUUGUACUUUUCAAUAGUACCAUCAGGCCUAAGCUUCUUCUUGAAUACCCAUUUGCAUCCUAUAGGUUUGCACCCAUAAGGACGAUCAGUUAUCUCCCAAGUUUUAUUCGCCAAGAUGGAAUCCAUCUCGCUACAAACCGCUUCCUUCCAGUAGUCAGCAUCUUCAGAUGCAUAAGCCUCUGAAAUAGAACUGGGAGUGUCAUCUAUGAGAUACACAAGAAAAUCAUCACCGAAGGACUUUGCAGUCCUUUGUCUCUUUCUCCUAGUAGGAACUUCAUUGUUCUCCUCCACAGGACUUUCAAAGUGUUCCAUCGAAAUGGCAGGUUCAGUAAUUGUAACUGGUUCUAGAUUCAAUGAACUAGGCAUCUCCUAAUUAGAUGAGGUAGCCAUAUCCUUCAUGGGAAAUAUAUCUUCGAAGAAAGUCGCAUCAUUCGACUCCAUGAUCGUACCGACAUGCAUGUCAGGUACCUCAGAUUGUACAACCAAAAUAUAUAACCAAUCCUAUGAAAAGCAUAUCCCAGGAAAACACAAUCCACGGUCUUUGGUCCAAGCUUCCGCUUCUUUGGAAUUGGAACAAUGACUUUUGCCAAACAACCCCAUGUUCGUAGACAAGAGAGUUUUAAUCUUUUUUUCUCCCAUUCCUCGAAUGGAGUUAUCACUUUAUUCUUUGUGGGAACACGGUUUAGGACAUGACAUGCAGUCAAUAUCGCCUCUCCCCAUCAUGCCUUGGAGAGACCCGAUGUGUCUAACAUGGCAUUAACCAAAUCAGUUAUAGUACGGUUCUUUCUUUCGGCCACCCCAUUUGACUGAGGUGAAUAGGGAGGCGUCCUCUCAUGGAUUAUACCAUGUUCCGCACAAAAAGCAUCAAAUUCACUGGAAAAAUACUCUCCACCACGGUCGGACCUAAGCCUCUUGAUUUUUCAAUCAAGUUGGUUUUCCACUUCAGCUUUAUAGAUCUUGAAAAAGUUCGAAGCCUCAUCCUUAGAUUUCAAAAGAUACACACGAAAGUAUCUAGUAGAGUCGUCAAUUAACGUCAUGAAAUAUUUCUUUCACCUUUUGUCAAAACACCAUUCAUUUCACAUAGAUCUGAAUGUAUGAGUUCUAGUGGUGCAAGAUUUCUCAUUGUCGUGUGAGACUUACGAGGUUGCUUAGCUUGUACACACACUUGACACUUAGAUCCCUUGACAGUGGUGAAACUAGGGAUUAAGUUCAACUUCGCUCGUCGCGACAUGCAACCAAAGUUAACAUGACAAAGACGUGAAUGCCACACAUUUGAUUCACUAUUGUUGUAAAUAUGAUUAACAACUUUAUUGCAAAAGUCUGAUAAGGAUAAACGAAACAGGCCUCCUGACUCAUAGCCUUUAGCAACAAAGGUUCCAUACUUGGAUAUUACAAAUUUAUUCGACUCAAAGACAAGCUUGUAGCCAUCUCUACACAGAAGAGAUCUGCUAACAAGAUUUUUAUUGACGGAGGGGACAUAAUGCACAUUCUUCAGCCAUACGAUCUUCCCCGAAGUAAACUUCAGAUCGACCUUGCCAACACCACGAACAGAAGCACUUGAACCGUUGCCCAUCAGCACGGUUGAAGUCCCUGCGGUAUGAUAAGACGAAAACAUGAAAAUAUCACCGCAUACAUGCACAUUAGCACCCGUGUCAAUCAACCAAUCAGGAGAAUGACAUACUGAAAGAAUAGUGGGAAAUAUACCAUACCCAGCAUCCUUCAUGUCAGUGUCUCCAAUGACAACAUUAGCGGUCUUGCCGCAUUUCCCAGGAUGACACUUGUCAUAGCGAUUAGGGCAACCAGGAGCCCAAUGAUCAGGAUUCCCACACACAUGACAAGCACCUUUCUUCUUGUCAUUCUUCUUCUUGAAGUUCGUGUGCUGCACAACCUUGUUCUUCCCAUCAAACUUUGCUUUACCAUCAAACUUGCCCUUGUUCUUGGACUUGUGGGGCUGGAUGUUCUUCUUCUUUACCAGAUUGGCACUAGAUCCUCCCUCAAUACCUCGAGCACGUGUAUCCUUUGCUCUCGCCUUUUCUUCCACAUCAAGAGUGCCAAUGAGAUCCGGGACGGAAAACUCCUGUCUCUUAUGCUUCAGUAAGGUAGCAAAAUUCCUCCAUGAAGGAGGAAGCUUAGUGAUGAUACCUCCGGCAACAAACUUGUCCGGUAGCAUACAACUGAAGUGCUCAAAUUCUCUAGCAAAUGACUGUAUCUCAUGAGCUUGCUCAACCAUGGAGUGCUCUUCAGUCAUCCUGUAAUCAUAGAAUUGCUCCAUGAUGUACAGCUCAGUGCCAGCAUCCGAGACCCCAAACUUGGCCUCGAGUGCAUCCCACAUAUCUUUUCCAUUAUCAAUUGACGCAUAAGCAUCAACUAUGUUCUCACCAAGAACACUCAAAAGAGCAGCCUUAAACAGAGUAUCCAUUUUCUGAAAAGCUUGUGCCUGUUGAGCAUCAAGCUCUUCUUCAGGUUUGCCGAGAGUGGCGUCAUAGCAACUCAUGGUUUGAAACCAUAAGACUGCUCUUACGUGCCACCUCUUAUAGUGGAUACCCUCAAACAUAGGAGGUCUCAUGGAAGCAACAAAACCACUCGGAGUAAAUUGCCUAUAAUAAGGUUUUUGGAUUGUUGGAAAUAUGAUCAAUUUACUGAAUAAUUUUAUUAACAGAAAUACUAGAUAAAGCAUGACCAGAAAAGUAGUGAUAAAACAAGCCAUGCGAUUUGACAAAGAGAAGGUAAACAACAUCUUCAUAUAUGAAUUGUAACUAAACAUAUCUAGAGCAGCCAGUAUAGCAAGUUGCAUAUAUGAAAUAGAAUCUAACAUAUCUAGGGCAAAUACUAGAACAAGGAACUGUAGCAGGACCUCUAAUAGAAAGGAGAAGAACACGUACGGGACAGCAGCAGCAGAAGCGCUGGACUUGGGGUCGGUGCCCUCGCGUGCCAUGUCGGCGAGCAGGUCGUGGACGUCGGGGAAGUAGUCGUCGGCGACCGGAUCGUCCGUGAUGAAGCAGCUAGUAGUCGCGCUGAGCGCUCCCCAAAAACCUUAUCACCCUUCUCCCGUACAGGACUCAAAAGGUGCGGUUUCGGAGGCCUACUGUCCCGACGUGCUGUGCACGCCGCAAGCCGGGAUGAGGAAGAUAGCAGCAGCUCAGAGAUGGAACCGAUGGCGAGGGAAGGAGUAGUUCUGGUGCGUCUCUCUGGGAGGAGCGACCUCCCUUUUAUAGGCGCAAGAGAAGGAGGCGAGAGGGCAGCGACGGGAGGCGAAACGAAGAGACGGAGAUGAAUCGAACAGCCAGCUUCGCGGCGCGGCAGGCGGCGGAGGAGGAGCGCGCGUGGAUGUCCCUCUUGUUCUCAUGCUCAUACAAAUGGGGAAAGAACCUCCCUUAUAAAGAGGUCCAACUCCCUCUAAACUAGCAAUGUGGGACUAAACUUUAGUUCCACCUCUUUCCUUGCACAAAUGGGCUGCGUGGGCCUCUAGGAUUUAUUAAGAAUUUCUGAAACUGCUAUUGGGCUAGGCCAAAAAUAGACAAAAUUCCAGCAAAUGUCUCGGUGAUGUUGAUGAUGGAAGGCGAUGAAGAAAUCUCCUGGGUAGUGGGGAACGAUAUUGAAGAACUCCUUGCCGAUGCGGGUGCGUGACUGGAUUCGGCGAUGUUGGCGGCAAACAAGGGAGAACGGCGCCCACACAUCCAAACAAUUGCAUGCUUUGUAGGUGGGCCGCCUGCUGCUCCAAGGCGUGCGUGGUCGCCAUGACCACGACGCUCUCCACCGGGUGGUAUGGAGGGUCCCCUAGGCGGGGCAUGGCUGUCAGGGGCACGAGGUGCUGUCGGGCAAGAGGGAAAUGUGUCGAUGUUGCUGUGGGGUGCGAAGCGCACUCACAAUCCUUGGCCUUGCGCCUACUUCUGGAGCAGAGAUUGCAUCUGAUGGGGUCUCUGCAAUUGAUGGCAAUAUGUCCCCUUGUAUGGCAACGAAGACGGCGCUGCUUCUCCCACUUUGGUCUUGAAAUCGAGCGAGGCUGCACGCCAUGAAGACCAGUUGGAUGGUAGUUGCGGCUUGAAUGCGCGAUACUGCUAGAGGAGUUCCUCCACCAAUACUUUGGCUUGACCAGCUCCGAGCGAACAUGUCGAGCUGGAUCUCCCCCUCUGGCAGGAUCUGGCGCCCAGUCGCGACAACAGGGCACAAGCGCGCACGCACGACAUUGACAAAGGAGGGAACAUCGCGCUCGUAAUGAGCAGGCUGCGGGUGUCGCGUUGCCAACAGAGGCAUUGAAUCCCCAUCCUUGAAUGCGGCCGUUAGGAGCUUCGGUUGAGCUGGCAUUCGAGAGGAGUGGCGUCUCCGGGACAAAAGAUGAACCUGACGACGUCAGGCGACGAGUGCUGGGAGGCGGGAUCAGGAUUCGUUAGGGUGGCGGUAGUGGAGUGGGUAAACCAGGGUCUGGAUGAGGAGGCCAUCACAGGGGUAGCAAUGGAGGCCGAGGAUGCGUGGGACGCGGCCACCGGAGCGGCGAGUCACAAGGUGCAGGNNNNNNNNNNNNNNNNNNNNNNNNNNNNNNNNNNNNNNNNNNNNNNNNNNNNNNNNNNNNNNNNNNNNNNNNNNNNNNNNNNNNNNNNNNNNNNNNNNNNNNNNNNNNNNNNNNNNNNNNNNNNNNNNNNNNNNNNNNNNNNNNNNNNNNNNNNNNNNNNNNNNNNNNNNNNNNNNNNNNNNNNNNNNNNNNNNNNNNNNNNNNNNNNNNNNNNNNNNNNNNNNNNNNNNNNNNNNNNNNNNNNNNNNNNNNNNNNNNNNNNNNNNNNNNNNNNNNNNNNNNNNNNNNNNNNNNNNNNNNNNNNNNNNNNNNNNNUGAGCCAUAGAUGACAAAAGAAACAAAACUAUCAAUUUUUUUUGCAUAUAUACUUUUAGCCUACACGUCAUGGCUUCAUACCAACUCUACCUUCUAUGUCCAAAAAGCUGGCUUGCGGACUCUGGUCUCCUCUGUACUACUGUACUACUCACUGUUGGCGUCUAUAUAUGCAACUAAUAUAAAUUACAAAACAAAACAAAACCCUUUCCGCGAGACAAAGUUACACGGGCACAAGUGCAACCUGCAAGAUCAUGGCGGGAGGCCAUUUUAUUUCAGAUAUGCUAAAUGCCAUGGCCGUGUACAGGUCCAGUGUCCUCUCCUCACCUGUUAGAUUAGCCGUUCACGGUUCACCCUUCAAAUAAUCCUCUUAUCUCCACUUCUAGUUGCUGACCAGUAUAGUAGCACUUCUUUUGUUUCUUCUCUCCCACAAAUUUUCGCCUUAAUAGUGAAAAAGGCGUACCUAAAAGUCGUUUUCCCUUUCCCUGCAGUGCAGAUAAGGACACCUCAUACGGUGGAACAAUGAAAUCCACGAUCUCCUGCCGCAGUUGAUACCUGAGUUCCGCUGUGACCUUCCAUGUCAUCUGGCGAUUACAGGUGGCAAGAAAUUCGGCAUUAAACUCCUCCAAGUUUAGACGGUUCAGAGCAGCCCAGCACUCGUCCAAGUAGCUCUUCUUGUACCGCUGGAUCAUUGAAGUGAGCCUACUCGCCAGUUCGUCACUGACAAAAGAUGCUCUUUGACGCCGCACCAUUUGCAGAACAUCAAAUGUGUUAUUCAGGAGGAAUAUGCAUUUCCCACCCUUUUCACUUUGGCGGAUGAAUUCUGCAUCUUUCUCGAGCUUGGAUUCCCAACAAUCAACCAAGUGGGAGUAAGGGUAAAUAGCCAGGGCUUGUAUGAGAAGGUCAUUUGCUGGAUGAAUUGUUGAUUCGUCGCUGCUACCGUUGUCCACGACUAUUCGUUCCCAAUCAUUCACCAUCAUCUGAGCUGGCCUGUUCAAAGGCAGGUCCGUCGCACUGUUAAGAUAAGAACCAUAUAUAUAAGAUAAUUGAAAUCGCGUAAUUGUAGUAGUACUUGUUGGGGAAGAAAAAUCAGUUCGCCCUUAUUACAAGAUUUUGCAUGAUGAGGAAGAAAUUAGUAGGAGUACCACUAAGUAGAGUAGUUAGCUGAUCUCACCGCGGCUAGUCCUCCCGCAUCUACUAAUCCCCGUAGCAAUAUAGGGGCGGCACGGCGACGCGAGCACCAGCGGCGAGAGGCGAGCAGCGGCCGCGGCAAGCAACGCAGCGAGGCGCGGCGAGAGGCGCGCUGUAGGACGAGCCGAGCACGCGCGUAGCGGUGGCGUAUAGUUGCUGGGCGCGGUGAGAGGCGCGCUGUACGACGAGCCGAGCACGCGCGUAGCGGUGGAGUAUAGUUGCUGGGCGCGGUGAGAGGCGCGCUGUACGACGAGCCGAGCACGCGCGUACCGGUGGCGUAUAGUUGCUGGGCGCGGCGAGAGGCGUGCUGUACGGCGACGAGAGGACGCGCGGACCGGUGGCUUAGUUGCUCGGCGGCGAGAGGCGCGCUGUACGGCGAGGCGAGCACGCGCGUACCGGUGGCGUAGCUGCUGGGCGCGCCGAGAGGCGUGAGGUACGGCGACGCGAGGACGCGCGGACCGGUGGCGUAGCUGCUGGGCGCGGCGAGAGGCGCACUGUACGGCGAGGCGAGCACGCGCGUACCGGUGGCGUAGUUCCUGGGCGCGGCGAGAGGCGUGCGGUACGGCGACGCGAGGACGCGCGGAGCGAUGCCAUAGUUGCUCGGUACGGCGAGAUGCGCGCCGUAGGGCGAGGCGAGCACGCGCGGACCGGUCGCAUAGUUGCUGGGCGCGGUGAGAGGCGCGCUGUACGACGAGGCGAGCAUGCGCCGAGCGAUGCCAUAAUUGUUCGGCACGGCGAGAUGCGCGCUGUAUGGCGGGGCGAGCAUGCGCAGAGCGAUGCCAUAGUUGCUCGGUACGGCCAGAUGCGCGCCGUACGGCGAGGCGAGCACGCGCGGACCGGUGGCGUAGUUGCUCGGCGGCGAGAGGCGCGCUGUACGGCGAGGCGAGCACGCGCGUACCGGUCGCGUAGUUCCUGGGCGCGGCGAGAGGCGCGCUGUACGGCGAGGCGAGCACGCGCGUACCGGUCGCGUAGUUCCUGGGCGCGGCGAGAGGCGAGCACGUCCAGCGCGGCGAGAGCUGCGGCAGUUGCGGACGCGCAACUAUGCUGGGCGAGCUGCGACCCGGCAAUCCGCUGCUGUGGCGGACGCGCACCUACGGUAUGCUGGGCGAGCAGCGAACCGGCAAGCUGCGGCUUUCGCGGACGCGCACCUGUGGCACCGCCGAGUGCGGAGAGCACGUUCUGCAGCGAGCGCGGCGCGACGAGCAGCGUGCUGGGCGACAUGGCAAGGCACUCAGGGGGCGGCAACCGACGCGGCGGCGUCAACUACGCCGCGACUGGGCUGGGUUCUAGGCCAUGCUCGACGCGACCGGCGAAGAAGGGAGGCGCGCAGACCGGGUGCCGGCCGGGGAGGGGAAAGCAUAGUAUCGAGUGGAACAAAAAGAGCACUGGUGAUUGAUUUGAUUCACAUACGUACCUGCAGAUGGAACCGGCGGCGGCAUCGAGGCGUCCUCGGAACCUUCCAGUUCCAUCCCCUGCCGCUUCCAUUGGUUCAGCCGGGCCGGGUUGGUUCGCCGUCGUUGUGGAUGCCGCUGCUCGAACCGCUGUCGCCGGGGUUGCACUUGCAGCGCACGAUCGAUGGGGGGCGGAGUUGCGGACGGCGGCGGCUUCGAAUUUUGUUGGAAGGAUCUCUUGAUGAGAUUUGGCGCGCGGGCUCUUUUCUAUAUAGGCUUUGCAGAUUAGCUGAAGCGGACGCUUGGACGACAGCGACCCAGGACGCGUCCGCGAGAUCGGCUGUGUAUCCCUGCAUUGCAGCCCCUCUUGUGGCACACCCCGACAUUCAUCAUACGUAAAAACUGUUUAUUAUUCGUAGACAUUAAACUCAGAACAUAGCUCCUCCAAAAAAAAGGACAAAUCAAUGAUACAUGUGGUUGCUGAUUUAUUAUUUUAAAUAAUUUGCGGUGACUGGUUAGUGGUAGUUAAAACUGUGUGAAUUAUAUCCCCGAAAUUCCAAACGAAACAUGUUUUUGAUCAGUUUCUUUUUUCAGAGGGUGCUCAGAAUAUGGACUUGCAUCUCACAAAAUACUGGAAAUAAUACUUCCUCCGUCCCAAAAUUCUUGUCUUAAAUUUGUCUAGAUAUAGAUUUAUCUAAUAAUAAAAUAUAACUUGAUACAUUCGUAUUUAGACAAAUCUAUGACAAGAAUUUCGAGACGGGGGAGUAAUACGUUGUACGUCUCUAAACAAGGAUGUGCCACAGGCUGGGUUGCACGUGAUCGGUUGCAACGGAUACGCCAUUUGUUGUGAGUUGUGCGAACACUGCGGUCACCGCUUUAUCCCACCUUUCUUCCCGUUCCCGUUGCCUUUCCCGUUCCCGGACAAACAUCGCUAUACUGUAUAUUUUACAAUAAUCUCCUGCUAAUCGUGCGCCGAGGAAUCGUUCCCGACGAUAAAUGCUACUGUACUACUCUAUAGACGUUUGGCUGACAAAGCAGGGUAUAAUACUCCAGUAUAUUGCAAGAUUUGUAGAUUGCUGAUCCCACUUGCCGCGGGAUGUGUACAGACUAUGCUUUCGCCUCCGCGCCGGAUGGAUUGGUGCAUGGCAGGCCAGGACACGUGGCAUGAGACGAGAGCUGAGCGUGCGUUGUUGACCUGCUGGGGUCAAAGCGCCAACGGCUGGUGAUUGCAAUGUUUUUCUUCUUUAGAACCUGUUCGGUAACCACGGAGGGCAGAGAAAUGAGAGUUUGCACAAGGAUACCUGUGGAGGGAGUAGGCAUGUAAAGUUAAUUUUUAGUUCCAUUUCUUUGUCGGUACUCCCCCAGUUCCUUUAUAUAAGGUGUAUUUGUUUUUACAAAAGUCAAAUGCGUGCAUGUUUGAUCAAUUUUUUAAGCAAAUAUAUCAGUAAAUAUCCACGGUAGGAAAUUUAUGUCAUUUCAACCAUCAUGAAAAGUAGUUUCAUAUUUUUUCUAUUAGGUAUUGCAGAUAUUGUUAUUUUAUUCUAUAAUCUUGGUCAACAAUUCAAAUGAUUGACUUGUACGGAAAUCGGUACACCUUAUAUUCUGAAAUGGAGGGAGUAUAUGAUAAGAAUUAGAGUUGGAUGAAACUCUGCUAUAUCAUGGAAUGUGAAUUUUUACUCCCAUUUCCUUGUUUGGCUCCCUCAACUCUUAUUUCCCUUCCUACUUAAAUUCCCAUUCCUUGCAAUCAAACAAUGGACUUUUAAUCUCCAUGCCCUCAAUGAAAUUUCAUUUUUCAUCUCUAAUUUCCAAGAACCAAACAUGAUGUUAUGGAAAAAGAAGAGAAAUCAUCCUACUCUCUCCCUGUUCAUUUUUUUCUAGGGCUCUCGCCCUGUUGAUUGUGGAAUGCUAUCGACCUGUUGAAGGGUCGAAGAAUGUGUCACAAAAUACAACACCUUUGUAGAUGUAGCAUUGCUCUAAGAAUAAAGCACAAAUGGGUAAUCUACACGAUUGAUUUACAGAGAAGCUUAGAUUACAGCACCUCCAAGCAGUAAUCUAUGGCUAUCCCCUACCUCAGUCGCGGUCUCAAUCCCACAUGUGUCAAAUCCUCCCGUGAAAAAAAGUGCCGAACACUGCCUCGAAUGUGACACGAUGGAGGAAAGGCCAAACCUAAGGGCAUUUCCAACACCGUGCAGCAAAAUCGUUGCAAUCCGGACCACGCCGCCCAAACAUGUUAGGUCAUCCAACGUCGUGCACUAAAUGUUUGUGGUGUAGUCCGGACAUCCAGAAUCCCUAACAGGAAACAAAAAUGAGGAGGUUUGUGACCUCCGGACCACUUUCAUGUAAGCCUCCAACACCCACAGUCCACACAAAAACCUCACCUGGAGCCUCAAGUUUUUCGCUCCACCCCUCCCUCUUACUUUGUAUUUGUUUAGUCCGAGACUGUAGUAACCGUUAUACCACCCACUCCGCCGCCCAGGCCCAGUUGGACCUCUGCCGCUCCACCUGGGCGCCAGCCCCGACUUGCAUACGCAUAUCUUGUCCACCUCUGGUCCGAUCGUCCCUACACAUUGCCAUCUAUGGAGGUCACUACGCCCGGCAAGUGUUCGGCCAAAUGUCAUAGCCAAAUUUAUUACUCUCGCCGAUCCAUAUUACUUGUCUCUCAAAUGAAUGUAUUUGGCACUGAAACAAGUCUACAUACAUCCGUUUCAACGACAAGUAAUAUGGAUCGGAGGGAGUAACAUUUAUCUUAUUUACUAUGAAGCAAAAUAAUGGAUUCGUAUGUGGAGUACUUCUAUGUUGAGUCCAUUGAUACGUAGUCGUCAAAUGAGGACGAAUAUGAGGACGAAAUGGCGAUGAUUCAUGCGGUUAUUGCAAAAUUCAAUCAUGCGUAGGAGCAUGUUCUCAAUUUCAAGAGAUCAAUAAAGGGACAUCGAGUGAUGAAACGGAACUGGAACGGGGUCAUAUGAUGUUGAUGGACAAAUACUUUAUCCCCAUGCGCUACUCGGGUCCUAUUUUCACCGUCGAUUCCGGAUGAGGCGAACUGUGUUUGAUUACCUCUACAAUGGUGUCAAAGAUUGUGAUGACAACUUCGUCUCAAAGAAGAAUGUCUUUGGAACAUUUGAUUCUCUAGUUACCAUAAGUGCACAACUGCAUUAAGGAUGCUUGACUAUGGCACAACCACAGAUUCGUGGGACGAGUACUUUCGGAUGUACGAAAGCACAUGUCUCGAAGUCAUGUGGUCAAGGUGUCUGGACAAGAGUACUUGAGAGAACCAACCUUCUAUGCCACCACAUGGCUCAUCGCACUGUGGAAAGUAGGAGGGUGGCCAUGUAUGCUCGGAUCCUUGGAUUGCAUGCGCUGGUAAAGGAAGAAUUGCCCAUAUGCUCUACAAAGACAAUAUCAGGUCAUUGUAAGAAGCCCACCAUCAUUUUUGAAGUAGUUGCGUCACAAGACCUCUGGAUUUGGCACUCUUUCUUUGGGUUGCUCGGGUCUCAGAAUGACAUCAACAUGUUGGAACGGUCUCCAUUGUUUGCAAGAUUUUGUGUGGGAAAAGAUCCUCUCUGUGCAACUAUACCAUCAAUGGUCAUGACUACAACAUGGGCUAUUAUCUUUGCGAUGAUAUCUAUCCUUAGUGGGCAACCUUCAUCAAUACUAUCUCUGAUCCAAGUGGUGAGAAAAGAUCUCACUUUACCCGAAGAUAACAAGGAGCUAGAAAGAAUGUGGAGAGGGCAUUUCGAGUGCAAUGAAACCGGUUUGCAGUCAUUCGAGGACCUAAAGAAAUAUGGGAUCUAAAGACAUUGUGGGAAGUAAUGACAAUUUUUGUGGUCAGGCACAACAUGAUUGUGUAGGUUAAGGGUGACGGGUUCACAUGGUCUAAAAUUUGAGCACAUGAUUGAUCCAAUCCAACUUCCAUAGUAGAAUUCAGAGACGUUUGACGAAUUUAUCCAAAUGCAUCAAGAGAUUCUUCAUCGGGCAACUCAUGAGCAACUUUAAAACAAUCCGGUUGAGCAUUUGUGGAUGCUUCGAGGGGAGAAUUGAAAAAUAUUGCCGAAUAAGUUGAAUAAAUUUGAACUAUUUUAAAGCAAUACUUCAUAUUUGGAUUGUAAUAUUUAUAUUUGAAAUAUUCUUGCAUUGGAAUAUUUGCACAUCAUGAUUAUGAAUGAAUGGUGAUAUUUAUCUUCUAUUUAUUUUGAGUGCUUUGGACAAAGAAAACACAGAGAUAACUAUCUGGUACACUGGGUUGGAUUCCACGCAUCUACAACUGGACUUCGCAAAUCCGGCCUCCUAUAUAAGUCCGCGGAGGCGUUCGUGCGAGUUCGCGGACAGCGACAGUCUGCCACUCACAUAUCCUCAUUUGUAACCAUAACACUCACUUUUAGAACCGCAUCCUCAAAUCCAUGCAAACACAUGCACGUCGAUUAUUAUACACAAACAAUGAAUAGUACACACACAUAUAAAAAUUAUUCAUGCAUAAAGAUACAUAGUUCAAACAUCAAAUUUGUUCACAGUGCAAUGAAACAUAUAAAUGCAUAGUUCAUUGAUUUCUAGCAUUGAUUCACAUAUGCCCCACAAGAUCAUUGAGAAGUUGAAUGUGCACAUGUUGAUCUCGAAGUUCUCCAUGCAAAUCAGUAAAAUUGACAGCAUGCUCUGCCUCUUGUUCCGGGAGGCGAAACCGAACUCCGGGCUUCUAAAAAUCAUGCAUGCGAGCUGUCCCUUUACCCUCAUCCUCCAUAAUCAUGUUGUGCAAGAUUACACAACAUGUAAAGAGCUACCAAAGUACCCUCGUUCCCACAUCAUUGCAGCUCCACGAACAAUACCCCAUCAAGUUUGGAGGACUCAGAAUGCCCUCUCCAAAACCUUCGUAGCACCUUCUUGCAUUUGUGAAAAGAGACAUUGUUUCUUAUCACGGGUAUCGGAUAUAGUCUUCACAAACGCCGCCCAUUGAGGAUAGAUAGCAUCGGCAAGGUAGUACCCUGUGUUGUAGUUUUGCCUGUUGACAGCGUUGUUGCAUGUUGGACCCUCCCCUAUCAUAAGUCCCUUGAACAAAGGAAAUCAUUAGAGCACAUUGAUGUCAUUGUUAGAACUAGUCGUGUCAAAGAAAGAAUGCCAAAUCCGCAAGGUCCUCGAUGCCACUGCUUCAAGCAUGAUGGUGAAAUCUUUGGUGUUAUUCUGGUACUCCCUGCCCAAACCUUUGUGUCGUUCUUCCAUUGCCAAUGCAUGCAAUCGACUAGACUGAGCAUACCUGCAAAACCUAUUAUCGCUCCAAUUGGCAUCAACCUUUGUGGGUCCUCCAUAGUUGGUUUUCUCAUGUACUCCCUCAUAGCACAUGGAAACUGCACCAUCGUAUUCAGGCAUGUGGUCUAUCCCAUCCGGAUUUUAACAUCAAUGGCAUCUGCGUCCUUACCAUAAGCAAGCAUCCUGGGAGCAGCCGUGCAUUUCUGCAGAGGAGAGGAGGAAAGUUGUCUGCAAUAAUCCUUCCUCAACUUGAAGUAGCCAUCAGCCUCCUCCACGACAUUCAUUACACACAAGACCAAAUUUUUGGUCAUUCGAAAGUGACGUCGAAGAAACGUUCAUGGCAAGUUGGGUCCGGUUUGCAAUAAUCCUUGUAGAGAAGCUUCGCUCCAGCGAUCCUAUACCGUGGAACAACUCUCUUUCCCUUUAUCGAACCCUUGACGUUUGACACAUGCUCCUCUUGAUACUCCAGUUCUUCCUGGAUGCUCAUCAUCAUCAUCAUCAUUUCAGCAUCUUCGUCAUUUCGAGUGCGAUGAAUCGGUGAACUCUCUUUAUAUGAACUCGUCAAGGUCCUUGUCUUCAUCUGAUGAUGAAUCCAUUGUUUGCCUACAAAGGUCCUUGUUUCAUUGAACACAUAAAGUGCGAGGUCUAUGUUCGCAAGAGUUGCAUGUACCCGGGCGGCGACCGAUGGCGGCAUGGUCUGCGGUGUUGUGGGUUGGGGCCUGGGUGGCGGCGGCGUGGGUUGGGAAGGACAACAAAGCUAGGGUGGUGGAGGAGGUAUGGUGACGGAUUUGCAGACGAGACAAAAAAGAGGAGAGGAGGAGGACAUGUCAAGCCAGAUCAAGGACGUCGUAAGGAGAUAUGGGAUGAGCCCUGCUGUAGUCCGACGUGGCAGACGCGUCCAAAGUCAUCUGAGUGAUCUCAUGUCAACCCAACAUAUGGACUACAUAUGGAUGACGCCGGACAGACUGGUUGUAUAAGGAUGAUUAAGAGCAUCUCCAACAGCGGCAACAAAUAUCGUGCGCGCGGGAAAAGUUAGUUUGAGUGCUUUGGACAAAGAAAACACAGAGAUAACUAUUUGGUACACUGGGUUGGAUUCCACGCAUCUACAACUAGACUUCGCAAAACCGGCCUCCCAUAAGCCCGCGGAGGCGUUUGUGCGAGUUCGCGGACAGCGAUAGUCUGCCACUCAAAUAUCCUCAUCUGUAACCAUAACACUCACUUUUAGAACCGCAUCCUCAAAUCCAUGCAAACACAUGCAUGUUGAUUAUUAUUCACAAACAAUGAAUAGUACACACAUAUAAAAAUUAUUCAUGCAUAAAGAUACAUAGUUCAAACAUCAAAUUUGUUCAUAGUGCACUGAACAUAAAAAUGCAUAGUUCAUUGAUUUCCAGCAUUGAUUCACAUAUGCCCCACAGGAUCAUCGAGAAGUUGAAUGUGCACAUGGUGAUCUUGAAGUUCUCGAUGCAAAUCAGUAAAAUUGACAACAUGCUCUGCCUCUUGUUCCGGGAGGCGAAACCGAACUCCGAGCUUCUAAAAAUCAUGCAUGCGGGCUGUCCCUUUACCCUCAUCCUCCAUAAUCAUGUUGUGCAAGAUUACACAACAUGUAAAGAGCUACCAAAGUACCCCAUUUCCCACAUCAUUGCAGCUCCACGAACAAUACCCCAUAGAGUUUGGAGGACUCGGAAUGCCCUCUCCAAAACCUUCGUAGCACCUUCUUGCAUUUGUGCAGAGAGACAUUGUUUCUUAUCACGGGGAUCGGAUAUAGUCUUCACAAACGCCGCCCAUUGAGGAUAGAUAGAAUCGGCAAGGUAGUAUCUUGUGUUGUAGUUUUGCCUGUUGACAUCGUUGUUGCGUGUUGGACCCUCCCCUAUCAUAAGUCCCUUGAACAAAGGAAAUCAUUAGAGCACAUUGAUGUCAUUGUUAGAACUAGUCGUGUCAAAGAAAGAAUGCCAAAUCCGCAAGUUCCUCGAUGCCACUGCUUCAAGCAUGAUGGUUAAAUAUUUGGUGUGAUUCUGGUACUGCCUGUCCAAACCUUUGUGUCGUUCUUCCAUUGCCAAUGCAUGCAAUCGACUAGACUGAGCAUACAUGCGAAACCUAUUAUCGCUCCAAUUGCCAUCAACCUUUGUGGGUCCUCGAUAGUUGGUUUUCUCAUGUACUCCCUCAUAGCACAUGGAAACUGCACCAUCGUAUUCAGGCAUGUGGUCUAUCCCAUCCGGAUUUCAACAUCAAUGGCAUCUGCGUCCUUACCAUAAGCAAGCAUCCUGGGAGCAGACGUGCAUUUCUGCAGAGGAGAGGAGGAAAGUUGUCUGCAACAAUCCUUCCUCAACUUGAAGUAGCCAUCAGCCUCCUCCACGGCAUUCACACACAAGACCAAUUUUUUGGUCAUUCGAAAGUGACGUGGAAGAAACCUUCAUGGCAUGUUGGGUCCGGUUUGCAAUAAUCCUUGUAGAGAAGCUUCGCGCCAGCGAUCCUAUACCGUGGAAUAACUCUCUUGCCCUUUAUCGAACCCUUGACGUUUGACACAUGCUCCUCUUGAUACUCCAGUUCUUCCUGGAUGCUCAUCAUCAUCAUCAUCAUUUCAGCAUCUUCGUCAUUCGAGUGCGAUGAACCGGUGAACUCUCUGUAUAUGAACUCGUCAAGGUCCUUUGUCUUCAUCUGAUGAUGAAUCCGUUGUUUGCCUACAAAGGUCCUUGUUUUCAUUGAACACAUAAAGUCCUAGGUGUAUGUUCGCAAGAGUUGCACGUACCCGGGCGGCGGCCGAUGGCGGCACGGUCUGCGGUGUUGUGGGUUGGGGCCUGGGUGGCGGCGGCGUGGGUUGGGGAGGACAACAAAGCUAGGGUGGUGGAGGAGGUAUGGUGACGGAUUUGUAGACGAGACAAAAAGAGGAGAGGUGAGGACAUGUCACGCCAGAUCAAGGACGUCGUAAGAAGAUAUGGGAUGAGCCCUGCUGUAGUCCGAUGUGGCAGACGCGUCCGAAGCCAUCUGAGUGAUCUCAUGUCAACCCAACAUAUGGACUAGAUAUGGAUGACGCCGGACAGCCUGGUUGUAUAAGGAUGAUUAAGAGCAUCUCCAACAGCGGCAACAAAUAUCGCGCGCACGCGAAAAGUUAGUUUUAGCGCGCGCGGAGCGGGUUCGCGCGCUCCAGCGGGCGCGGGAAAUUCUGGCGCGCGGCAAAAGAUCGCGCGCGCGGGAAAAGGUGGCUGAGGGAGUCCUGGAUUAGGGGGUGUUCGGAUAGCCGGACUAUACCUUCAGCCGGACUCCAGGACUAUGAAGAUACAAGAUUGAAGACUUCGUCCCGUGUCCGGAAGGAUCUUUUCUUGGCGUGGAAGGCAAGCUAGGCGUGCGGAUAUUCAAGAUCUCCUACCAUUGUAACCGACUCUGUGUACCCCUAACCCUAUCCGGUGUCUAUAUAAAACGGAGGGUUGUAGUCCGUAGGACAACCAUCAUCAUACACAAUCAUACCAUAGGCUAGCUUCUAGGGUUUAGCCUCCUUGAUCUCGUGGUAGAUCUACUCUUGUACUACCCAUAUCAUCAAUAUUAAUCUAGCAGGAGUAGGGUUUUACCUCCAUCGAGAGGGCCCGAACCUGGGUAAAAUAAAGUGUCCCUUGUCUCCUGUUACCAUCCGACCUUGACGCACAGUUCGGGACCCCCUACCCGAGAUCCGCCGGUUUUGACACCGACAUUGGUGCUUUCAUUGAGAGUUCCUCUGUGUCGUCGCUUUUAGGCCCGAUGGCUCCUUUGAUCAUCAACAACGAUGAGGUCCAGGGUGAGACUUUCCUCCCCGGACAAAUCUUCGUCUUCGGCGGCUUCGCUCUGCGGGCCAACUCGCUUGGUCAUCUGGAGCAGAUCGAAAGCUACGCCCCUGGCCAUCAAGUCAAGUUUGGAAGCUUAAACUACACGGCAGACAUCCGCGGAGACUUGAUCUUCGACGGGUUCGAGCCACAACCAAGCGCGCUGCACUAUCCCGAGGGGCAUGAUAUAGCUCUGCCUCCGAAUAGUGCCCUGGAGGCCGCACACGCUCCGGCCCCGAUCCUCGACUCGGAGCCCGCUGCGUCCUUUGAGGAUGAACGGUUGGACGUCACCUCGGGGGCUGCGAUCUUAAAGGCGAUCGAGCCGAACGCAAGCCCCGCACUCCGCAUGGCCCAUGACUCCAAGGAGCCGGAUUCUUCUCCGAACUCCGGGCCUUCCGUGCCCCCGCCGAUCGAAUCUGAUUGGGCGCCUGUAAUGGAGUUCACCGCCGCGGACAUCUUUUAGUGCUCACCUUUCGGUGAUAUCCUGAAUUCUCUCAAGUCUCUCUCUUUAUUAGGAGAGCCCAGGACGGACUAUGGUCUGCGAGGUUGGGAUUCGGACGACAAAGAAAUUCAAAGCCCACCCACCACCCACUUAAAUAGCCACUGUCGAUGAUUUAACCGACAUGCUUGACUUCGGCUCCGAAGACUUCGACGGUAUGGACGACGAAGGAGGAGACGAACAAGAACCAGCACCUGUAGGGCGCUGGACCGCCACCUCGUCAUACGACAUAUAUAUGGUGGACGCUCCAAAGGAUGGAGAUGGAGAUGGAACAGCGGAGGACAACAACUCGAAAAACCCGCCAAAACGCCGGCGUCAACGGCGCCGCUCUAAAUACCGCCACAGCAGAAACGGUGAUUCCGGCACGGGAGAUAAUACUACCCCGGACAGCGCCGAAGAACACCAAAACCAGCAAGAGUCGGCGCAGGAAGAUGGAAAAGCCAGCCCUCACGAGAGAGCGGCAGAGCAAGAGGUUGAGGAUGAUAACUACAUGCCUCCCUCCGAAGACGAGGCAAGCCUCGGCGACGAUGAAUUCGUCAUACCAUCAGACCCCGCCGAACAAGAGCGCUUUCAACGCAGGCUUCUAGCCACGGCGAACAGCCUAAAGAAAAAGCAGCAACAACUUAGAGCUGAUCAAGAUUUGCUAGCUGACAGAUGGACUGAAGUCCUUGCGCCCGAAGAGUAUGAACUCGGGCGCCCCUCUAAAAAUUAUCCUAAGCGCAGGCCGCUACCCCAAUCAGAGGAGGAAGCACAUGACAUGGCAGACCGGCCACCUCGCGGCCGCGACAGAGAGGCAUGUCGAACCUUCAAACAAACCAUGCCCCGGGGCCGCUCAACUAAGGCACGGGAAAACAAGCCAGACCUGCGAGACGUCCUGGAGGAUAAAGCAAGGCAAACACAAUCGAUCUAUGGAUCGCGCGGACGCCCAACGACACGUGAUGAUUUUCACUCCGGACACAAUAAAUCCGGCCGGGCUGAACACAACAGGCACAGCUCUUCCGAACUGCGUCGUGACAUAGCCCAGUACAGGGGCGCCGCACACCCACUAUGCUUCACAGACGAAGUAAUGGAUCAUAAAAUCCCAGAGGAUUUCAAACCCGUAAAUAUCGAGUCGUACGAUGGUACGACAGAUCCGGCAGUAUGGAUUGAGGAUUAUCUCCUUCACAUCCACAUGGCACCUGGCGACGAUUUGCACGCCAUCAAAUAUUUACCCCUUAAGCUCAAGGGACCACCCCGGCACUGGCUUAACAGCCUUCCAGCAGACUCGAUCGGUUCUUGGGAGGACCUGGAAGCCGCAUUCCUCGAGAAAUUCCAGGGGACCUAUGUGCGGCCACCGGACGCCGACGACCUAAGCCACAUAAUUCAGCAGCCAGAAGAAUCGGCCAGGCAAUUCUGGACACGGUUCCUAACAAAGAAGAAUCAGAUAGUCGAUUGUCCGGACGCAGAGGCCCUAGCAGCCUUCAAACAUAACAUCCGCGACGAGUGGUUGGCCCGGCACCUGGGACAAGAAAAGCCGAAAACUAUGGCAGCCCUCACGACACUCAUGACCCGCUUUUGCGCGGGCGAAGAUAGCUGGCUAGCUCGCAGCAACAACUUAUCGAAGAAGACUGGUAAUUCUGAUACCAAGGACAAAAGUGGCAGGACACGUCGAAAUAAUCAGAAGCGCUGCGUUAGCAGCGACAUCAAUGAGGAUACGGCAGUAAAUGCCGGAUUCAGAGGCUAUAAAUCCGGUCAGCGGAAAAAGCCAUUUAAAAAGAAUACCCAGGGCCCGUCCAGUCUGGACCGGAUACUCGACCGCUCGUGCCAGAUUCAUGGCACCCCCAAAAGGCCAGCCAAUCACACCAAUAGAGAUUGUUGGGUGUUCAAGCAGGCAGGCAAGUUAAGAGCCGAACACAAAGACAAGGGGCUGAAUAGCGACGACGAGGAGGAGCCCAGGCCGCCGAACAACAAUGGACAGAAGGGGUUUCCCCCACAAGUGCGGACGGUGAACAUGAUAUACGCGACCCACAUUCCCAAGCGGGAGAGGAAGCGUGCGCUACCGGACGUAUACGCGAUGGAGCCAGUCGCCCCAAAGUUCAACCCAUGGUCCUCCUACCCGAUCACUUUCGAUCGAAGGGACCACCCCACUAGCAUCCGUCACGGCGGUUUCGCCGCAUUGGUCCUUGACCCAAUCGUUGAUGGAUUUCAUCUCACAAGAUUCCUCAUGGACGGCGGCAGUAGCCUGAACCUGCUUUAUCAGGAUACAGUGCGGAAAAUGGGCAUAGAUCCAUCAAGGAUCAAGCCCACAAGGACGACCUUUAAAGGCGUCAUCCCAGGUGUAGAGGCCAAUUGCACAGGCUCGAUAACACUUGAUGUGGUCUUCGGAUCUCCGGAUAACUUCUGAAGCAAAGAGUUAAUCUUCGAUAUAGUCCCGUUCCGCAGUGGCUAUCAUGCCCUGCUCGGACAAACCGCAUUCGCUAAAUUCAAUGCGGUGCCGCACUACGCAUACCUCAAGCUCAAGAUGCCAGGCCCUCGAGGAGUAAUUACGGUCAACGGAAACACCGAACGCUCCAUCUGUACGGAGCAGCACACAGCGGCCCUCGCAGCGGAAGUACAAAGCAGCCUUUCAAGGCAACUCUCCAGUCCGGCCGUUAAAAAGCCGGACAAUGCAAAGUGCGCCCGGAGUAACCUGCAACAAGACCGUUUGGCACGUUAGGAGCAAGCGUAGCAAUACGGCCCCAACCCCAGCCAUCGCAGCAUAGCAGAGCUAGUACCUAGAGUACACAAUUACGCCCUUAAAAUUCCAUGGGCACAAGGGGACGGGCACAUUAACGGCAUGCCUACAAUACGGCGUCAAGCGUACUAGGGGUUGCCGAAUUUUUCUUUUUUACUUUCAGGACUCCAUACUCUGGAUAACCUGUUCGGCCUUGCUGCCGCAUAGACGAUGCAAGACCCAGGAAGGCAGACAAAGCUACGCCGCAUUACGGAACUCUCAGGUGGUCUCUAUUUCGAGCGAUAUAUCUGUUUCUAAAUUCCGCGGCCCGCGCCUGGUCAGGACAUGUUAAAUAGUCUAAUAUCCUUCUUGCUUAUCGCACUACUUGUAUCAUUCGGCUUUGAUAAAUAGCCUCUUUAUAAACAAUGCAUAGCUUUCUGUCUAUUUUUUGCAUUAUCCUCUUUUUAUAUAUAUGUUUGUUAAAUAACAUGAUCGCACCCGUACACCAUGGUACGGCAAAACACACCAGGGGCUUCAUUACCCAUUUAUUUGGUGUGAGAAGUCCGUACACUUUCACAAGUGCGGCACCCCGAACUUAUAGCACUAUAUGCAUCGGCUCUGAGUCAUGAUUCUGGUCACAUGUUGGGUUUGCCCGGCUCCUAUGUUUUGGUGCCUUACGUUCCGCUAUAUCGGCUAAGGUAGCACUAGGAGAACCACUGCGAUUGUGCCCCAGUUCAGGUGGGUUGAGCACCUCAGUGGAGAAAGCUAAAACAGACUGUCAUGAUAAGGCGUGAGACCGGUUGCUGUUCGAGAGGUUUUUCGAGUCCUUAAAGGCUUAUGCCGCUUCGAGCGAGGAGCUGGUUAUGUCCGGCCAAAGGUGUGGAUAGCGCCCCGAAUUCGGCCUUCCGAACUAGGGGCUUCGCCGAAAUUUAAAAUUAUAACGUUCUAUGGCUAAGUGAGAGUGUUCAAGCAUUAUAGUCCGAUUGCCUGGUUCGUUGUGCUGAGCGCCUCCCUCGAAAGACCCAACUAUGGGAACAAGAGCCCUCAGGUUUAUCCCGAACACCCCAGCACUAGUGGCAUGGGGGCAAAAGCCGACGACUGGCCAUCUCUCGAUUUUUGAUAAACGGACGCACAGAAAAUAAUAUUUUAAAUUCAGUAAGCAUUGUUUAGCGCAUAUGAAAAAGUUUUCAGCGCACAGGAUACAAACGAGCGAGUUCAUUCAAAUACUACAUCUUUAGUACAUUCAUCCGCGACAAGGCGGGCUCCAGCAAGAACUUCCUUGUAGUAGUUCUCGGGCUUGCGAUGCUCCUUCCCCGCCGGCGGCCCGUCCUUCACCAGCUUCUCUCCGUCCAGCUUACCCCAGUGUACCCUUACACAGGCAAGGGCCCUUCGGGCACCUUCAGUGCAGGUGGAGCGCUUGAGGACCUCAAGCCGUGGACAGGCUUCCACCAGCCGCCGCACUAGCCCGAAAUAGCUCCCAGGCAGGGCCUCUCUAGGCCACAGCCGAACUAGUAAGCCCUUCAUGGCCUGUUCGGCCGCCUUGUGGAGCUCGACCAGCUGUUUCAGCUGAUCUCUCAAGGGCACAGGAUGUCCGGCCUCAGAAUACUGAGACCAGAACACACUCUCCGUCGAGCUGCCCUCUUCAGCUCGGUAGAACGCGGCGGCGUCGGAUGCGCUGCGGGGAAGAUCGAAGAACGCCCAUGGAGAACUCCGGAUUCGGGUAAGUAAUAGGUAGUUUACUUUUAUAUUCUUACUUUGCAUUGAGAAUGCCUUACCCGCUGCUAUCUUUUUCACCUCCUCCAACUCUUGGAGGGCCUUUUGGGCUUCGGCCUUGGCACUCUUGGCGGUCUCAAUGGCCGACGCGAGCUCGGAUGCUUGCGCUUUCGCCUCAAGCUCCAAACCCUCAUGUUUUUUCAUGAGAGCUUGCAGCUCUUCCUGCACCUCGCCGACUUGGACCCCAAGCCUUUCUCGCUCGGCGCGCUCCUCGGCCGUUUUCUUUCCGGCCUCAGCCAGCGCCUGCUUCAGGGUUGCCACCUCGGUUGUGGCCCCUACAAUAAGCAGCACAAUCCUGUUAUUUCUUUCUGCAAUCAAGCCUCUCUAUAGGCACCUUUUUUUAGGGUAUUUCUUACCUUCUUUCUCCUCGAGCUGCCGUUUGGCAAGGCCGAGCUCUUGCUCGGACCGCCCGAGGUCCUUUUUAAGGACUUCCACCUGCGCAGUCAGUGCGGCGGUGGACAGCAGCGAAGCCUGCAUACGCAUAUUUGACUUUUUUUGUUAGACUCCUGCGAAAAUUACUAGAUCCUCUAUUUGGCUUUUCUUUCCGAACACCGAACAGAGCAUCAGGGGCUACUGUCUUUGCGGUAAAUAAUUUAACACAUUUUUGUUUACCUGGAAGCCUGUUAGAAGGCUAGAGCAAGCUUCAGUCAGUCCGCUCUUGGCGGACUGAACCCUUUGGAUUACCGUACUCAUAACAGUACGGUGCUCCUCGUCGAUGGUGGCGCCCUCAAGCACCUCCAGUAGAUUGUUCGGCGCCUCUGGUUGGACAGAGGUCGCCAUCUCAGACGGCUUACUCCUCUUGGAAGGAGUUCGCCCACCGCGGACCGGGACUGUUGAGUCCAGCGCGGUGACCGGCACAAAGCCGGACUUGGAGCCCCGGGGGAUUUCAUCCCUUUACUCUUGGGGUCCGGAGGAUUGCCUUGCGGCUCCUCCAGGACCAUCUCCUCCUGCCUUGAAGCUUGGCGGGGCGCCACUUCAGCGUCGUCCGCCCCGCAGGGGGAGACAGCGGGCGGAACAGAGUUCAUAUCCGACGAAUCCAGGGAGCCGCUCGAGGAAUCGUCGAGUCCGGCCCGGGGCGGGCUGCACAAAUUACGUUCGACAUUUGGGAAUGCCGCGCAUUAGAAAAUAUCAUGAGUCACUCUGGUAUGUAAAUACUUACGAUAUCGCCGAAUGCUUGGUUCUGUCCGGCCACUCCUCUCUGCCCUCUUCGGCAUCGUGGGAGUAGUCCGGCGGAGGGGUCUUCCUUUUCCUUGACCCCUCGGCCUCCCCCAUUGGGGUGGCCUUCUUCUUCUUUUCUCCCCUCACUGGGGGGGGGGGAGAGCUUCCUUGCUCCUCCUCCUCGUUUUCACGAGAGGAGGGCAUCACAGACUCGUCAGAUGACGAGCUCGACACCACCAUGUUGCGGAAACUCUUUCGAGUCCCGGUGGUUUUCUUCUUCUUGACCUUCUUCUCCGGCACCACAUAAGGCGCUGGAGCCAGCAGCUUCUCUAGGAGAGCUGGGGCUGGGUCUUCGGGCAGGGGAGCCGGACAGUUAAUUGGUCCGGCUAUCUUCAGCCACUCCUGUUAAAGGCAAAGGGAGUUUGGAUCCCACAUAGAGUUAAUCUAUGAAGAAGAGCUUAACGAACCUGUCAAAGGUAUAGAUAGCUUACCUCGCGAGAGUCGCGCUGCGAGCUGUAUCCGCGAUCCUCGGAAGCGGAUGUGGGGCACUCGGCGCCUUUGGUCAGCACCUUCCAGACGUCUUCAUACGUCGUGUCGAAGAGCCGGCUGAGGGUUUGGUGCUGCGCCGGGUCGAACUCCCACAAAGUAAAAUCCCGUUGUUGGCACGGGAGGAUCCGACGGACGAGCAUAACCUGGACUAUAUUGACAAGCCGGAUUGGCUUGUUCACCAGGGACUGGAUGCAAGUUUGCAAUCCGGUCACCUCUUCCUCUUUGCCCCACGACAGGCCCGUCUCUUUCCAGGACAUAAGCCACGUGGGGGGUCCGGAUCGGAACUCAGGGGCUGCGACCCAUUCCGGAUCGGAACUCAGGGGCUGCGAUCCAUUCCGGAUCGGACAUAAGCCAAAGUGGGGGCGGACGCGGAGAAAGGCCUCACACACAACGAUAAAUGCCGAGAUAUUGAGGAUAAAGUUCGGGGCCAGAUCGUGGAAGUCCAGGCCGUAGUAGAACAUGAGCCCCCGGACAAAAGGGUGGAGUGGAAAACCCAGUCCGCGGAGGAAGUGGGGAAAGAAAACUACCCUCUCAUGGGGCCUUGGGGUAGGAAGAAGCUGCCCCUCCUCAGGAAGCCGGUGCGGGAUGUCCUUGGACAGGUGUUCGGCCUUCCUGAGCUUUUUGAUUUGAGCCUCCGUGACGGAGGAAACCAUCCACUUGCCUCCCGCUCCGGACAUUGCUGGAGAAGGUUGAGGAAGGAAGAGUGGACUUGGGCGCUAGAGCUUGAGUGCUCGAGAGAUGGAUGGGCAAAGGAGGAAGAAGGCAUGGGUAAAAAAGGUGGAUCCUUAUCCCCUUAUAUAGGCUGAUGCGGUUAUGCGUCCCCACCUACCUAAUAAAACUCACUUGCCUCUCAAGCGCCGUGGUAAAUGGCGCGGUUGGGUUACCCACGUCCGUAUUAAUGAGAAUCCCGUUAAAAAGGGCACACGAUCUCUGCUUUGACAAGACGUGCCAAGGAAACUGCCUCGCUAAACGCGCCGAGGUGGAAUGAUGAAAAUAAUUUAUACAUAAGGCUUGGUCGCAGUGUUAUGACGCACUGCGGAAUACGUCAGCAGAUUUGUUUUGUGUUAAUAUUAUUCUCUAUAUGGCAAUAUGUGGAAACUCGUUUUGCAGAGCCGGACACUAUUUUUGGUGUUUGUAAUCUUCUUGAAGAACUUGGAGGAGGAACCCGCCUUGCAAUGCCGAAGACAAUUUGCGCGCCGGACUUGUCGUCAUUGAAGCCUGGUUCAGGGGCUACUGAGGGAGUCCUGGAUUAGGGGGUGUUCGGAUAGCCGGACUAUACCUUCAGCCGGACUCCAGGACUAUGAAGAUACAAGAUUGAAGACUUCGUCCUGUGUCCGGAAGGAUCUUUUCUUGGCGUGGAAGGCAAGCUAGGCGUGCGGAUAUUCAAGAUCUCCUACCAUUGUAACCGACUCUGUGUAACCCUAACCCUAUCUGGUGUGUAUAUAAACCGGAGGGUUGUAGUCCAUAGGACAACCAUCAUCAUACACAAUCAUACCAUAGGCUAGCUUCUAGGGUUUAGCCUCCUUGAUCUCGUGGUAGAUCUACUCUUGUACUACCCAUAUCAUCAAUAUUAAUCUAGUAGGAGUAAGGUUUUACCUCCAUCGAGAGGGCCCGAACCUGGGUAAAAUAAAGUGUCCCUUGUCUCCUGUUACCAUCCGACCUUGACGCACAGUUCGGGACCCCCUACCCGAGAUCCGCCGGUUUUGACACCGACAGUGGCCCUUCGCGCGCUAGAUUUGGCUUGUGGCGUCCGGCGCACUCUACAAAACGCGAGCGUCCGAUGCCGCCAGCCGCACACUCGACCGCUCUCGUCAACCCUUUCUUCCCCUCGCCUCCCCUCUCUUCUUCUCAUCCGGUGCCCUGCCGCUGCCGCCGCGCCCUUCCCCCGCCGCCGAUAUGCCGCCGCGUCGCCGAAGCAGCUCGGGCUACCGCGGCGUGUGCGUCCGCCCUUCCGGCUGGUUCUACGCGGAGAUCCGCUCCGGCAACGUGCUUCUCAGUCUCGGGAGUGGAUAUGUUUUUAUCUAUGCCUAUGUUUUUAUCUAUUUUAAUCUAUGCCUAUGUUUUUUAUAUUUUUUUGGAGCGCAUAUGUUGUUUAUGCGAGAGCGCGCGUUGUCCAGGUUUGCAGCGCCUGCUGGAGCGGCUCGCGCAUGCUAAACUUUUGAGCAGCCGCUGGAGCGAGCGCUCCUCGCCGCGCAAAAACAAACGAUCCGCGCUGCAAACGCAUUUUUAGCGUUGUUGGAGAUGCUCUAAGGGGACGGUUGAGUGACAUUUUCAUGACCGGAUAGUCACUAGGCGGUAGACCGGGCGAUAAAAGUAUUUGCCCAGUUAUAGAUGCUCUAACAUGUGGCCAAUGGAACAACCACUACACCGAAGCAGCCGCUCCAAAAAGGAGCAGAUUCAGGUUCUGAGGAGCAACAGUGACAAUGGCACCGGUGAGACACUCGAGAGUGAGUAUCUGGUGAUACGGGAGCUUAGAUGCUCCCGUGAUACGAACUCCCGUGAACCGUUCGAUCAGAUGUCCAACGGUCACAAACAGAGUCCUGCAACUUUGUUGAAAAGUCCUUCAAGAAUUUGAUAUUUUCAUGCAAAUCGAAGAGCAUGGCUGCCACCCUUAGAUCUUAGAUCCGAUGGUUCACGAAAGCCCGUAUCAUUGUAUCUUAGAGCAACUCCAAUGGGGCGACCCAAACGGACAGCGCAUUUGUCUGCUUCUUGUCUGUUUGGGUCGGCCACCCGCCCGGCGUCCGCCCAGUUUUGCAUUUGGGUCGGCAAUGCGCCCAAUGCGCCGACCCAUAUCAUGUCCGCAUUCAACUUUUAAAUAAAAAAAGGCCUGCGGCCGAUCAUGCCAGCGGCCAUGUCUCAUGCCGGCAUCAUGCCAGCACCGGCAUACAAUGUCUGCUACAGAAAAUACCACAGUUCAUGCUAGCGCACUCGCCAGCCGGCCGGCACACAUGCUAGCACACAAAAAAUGGUGGGACUUGGAGUUCGACCACGCCAUUGUGGUCAUGCCAGCACACCUGCCGGCAUACAAAAAGAUGGCCCUCGACGCCAUAGAUCACUCGUCCUGGAACUUGAGCAUGCCGGCCUUCAUCUUCUCGAACCACGGCCUCUUCCUUGGCGACAAGGCGUUGAGAUCCACCUUCAUGAUCUCCACCCCGGUCAUCAUGCUUGCAAGAGGCACUUCUUUCGCCUUUGUCUUGGCGUUGGCGGCCUCGAUAUCUAGCAUCUUGGCUUGCUUCUCGGCCUCGAGCUCGAACAUCUUGGCUUGCUUCUCGGCGUCAAGAUCAAGCCUCCUCCUUUGGAUCUCCAUGAAAGCAUCCAUUUGCUCCACCUUGAAACGCUGGCGCUCCUCCUCCCUUGAGUCCUUCUUAUUCAUCAUGCCGUCCAUGCUUGCGAUCAAGGCGUUGGUGGCCGCAUCUCGCUUGUCCUCCUUCUUGGAGUUGGUCUUCCCCCGCGGUCGUGCCGGCUCGCCCUCCCCAACAUCCUCCACAGCGCCCUUCCCACCACGUGCCUUGAGCGCGGCAUAUUGUGCCUUGAACUUCUCUUCGUCCUUGAUGACCCGAUAGCAAUGGGAGAGGUUGAAGCACUUGCCAUUGUGUUGAACCUUGAAUGCCUCCAAAGCUUGAAAUGCCUACAAAAUGUUUCCAUGCAAGCAGAUGGGCAAGUGAUAGCAAAUGAAGACGUAAAAGAAUGAUCUUGAUGGCACAAAAGAGGCCGACUUGCUUGCUAUCAUACUAUGUCUUGCACGCCGAUGCCGCUCACGGGGCGGGCCUUGACGCUCUCAAGGGUGGCAUAAAACUUGUUGCACUCUUGUUGGAUCACCCUCCACCGCUUGGAAAUGGAGACCCACCCGCGCGUGCUCACAAAUUGGUAGGGUGGAAACUUCUUGCGCUCAUGAAAUUCGCGGUGCACACGAGUCCAAAGGGUUGAAUGCUUUUGCUCGGCGCCCGUCUUUGGGUCUUGUACAAUGUCUCGCCAACACUCGCAAAGAAGCUUGUCCUCGACAGCUGUGUACGCCUUCGUGCGCUUGCUCUUGCGCUUCGGCUUGGGACCGGCGGUUUGGUUGGCGAGCUCGUCCUCGACCAAAGACUCCACUUCGAUGUUGCAAUCGUCCUCUUCCUCUAUCCCAUAGUCUUCUGGGAACUCGUGGUCGAGGGGGAAGCCGUCCAGGUCGAUGCCGACCUGAUCACGCAUGAAGGCCGCCUGAUCGGGAUCAUAGCCAGCGGCCGGCGUGAACGCCAGGUGGCCGUCCUAGCUUUGCGUCUCCUCGGGAUCGUAACCAGCACCAGGCGCACCACCCUUGAAGAUGAGGUGUUGCAUGUAGUCCUCGUCAAUGGCGGACGGCAUUUUCUCGAACAGGUUGCGGGCGUCCGGGAGACCGCCGGCCGGCGUCUAUCGCGCGCGUUUCCUCGUGCCGCCAGACGACGAGCCACUGACCACCAGGGUGGCGUUGAGGUCGAUGGGCGCGGGCGCGGGCAUGGAAGGCGCGACCACGCUCACGUCGGGUGAGCACUCCCCGGAGAGGCGGGAGGCCUGCGGGUAGACGUGGAAACUGGGGACCGGGUUGCAAGCCGAUGCGCGGGGUGAGUCGGGCAUCACCAUCCGAGGAAACGCCGACGAGCCGGUGCUGACCGCGGCGACGGCGGCUUGGACGAGGCUGUGCUGGCUAGGGUUUACCCCCAAGCAUGUAGAGCGCCUCCCUCGUUGCAGCGGCGACGCGGGCGUUGGUGCAUUCCUGCUGCGCGGCGGCGGCGGCGGCCUGCGCAGCGGCAUCAUCCGUCGCGUCUGCGGCGUGCCUCCGGCCCUUCCUCUUCGCCGACUCCCUUGCCCGCGGACGAAAAACGGACGCGCGUCCGUUUGGGUCGGCGCGUUGGGCCGCCACUUUUGUCCGCGCCGACCCGAACGGACGAGGACGGACGAAAUGGGUCACUCCAUUGAAGUUGCUCUUAGAUUCAAAGCUGCAGGAGAUCUGUUUGUGACCGUUGGACAUCUGAUCGAACGGUUCACGGGAGUUCGUAUCAUGGGAGCAUCCAAGCUCCGGUAUCACCAGAUACUCACUCGACACUCGAGUGUCAUUGAGAUACGGCGGGCGGACAGCAACAAUCAGACAUGUGAUGGCCGUCGGCCCUGCCAUGUUUGCCGGGGCGAGCAGAAGCUGUGAAGCCGGCUGAUGCACGUCAGAAUCUCUGUCGAUGUCAUGUCGUACACCCCAUCGAGUUUCUUUUGUCCCUCUGAAAUUUCGUUAUCUGCUCCGCCUCUCCGGAUUAGUUUUUAUUUAACUGCUGAAAAGCACGGUCGUAGUCGCAGCCGGCCUAGCGCGCCAACGUGGCAUCGCCCAAGCGAAUGGCCCACGUACCCACUAACUAUGAAUCGUUAUCAGUACUCCGUCACAUAAUACCACGUACGUGUUUCGCAAGAAAUAAACAUUAUACCACGUAGACGUAGUACGUAGUAAUACGCGCUAACUGCCACACGUGUGGUGCGAAGGGAGACGCACCACACGUCUCUAAUUUAAACAGACUGUCAUCUCAUCGCAUGCAUGCAUUCAGGAAUCUUUUUAGAUUUUCAGUUUUUAAAAUGUUUUAUCUACUAAACAAAAAAUCCGAUUAAAAAUCCGUUUUUACCAUUAAAUCCCUCGCGAUGAGAUCUUCGAAACUAGAUCCCAUGUUGUUAUGUUUUGAUGAAUUUUUUUUGGAUUAAAAGUUGCCAUGUUUAUUGCAUAUGAAUUGCCAUGAUGUUUACACUGAAGUUGCCAUGAUAUGUUUCAGCUCUUUUCUUCUAUAUUUAAAAGUAAAUUUUGACAUUUAUAAAACGGGGAAUUAAGAAACUAGACUUGCCAUGAACCAUAAACUAAAAUUGCCAUGAUACAUGCACGUAAAAUUGCCAUGGUUCAUAAAAAAAUAAUUUUCAUGGUCAAAGUACUGGAGUUGCCAUCAUCAAAAUACUAAAAUUGCCAUGAUCUACAAACUAAAAUUGCCACAUGGCAAGUUUAGUUUAAGCCAUAUGGCAACUGCAGUGUAAACAUCGUGGCAACUUCUGGCAAAAAAAAAUCGUCGAAACAUAUCAACAUGGGGUCUAGUUUUGCAGAUCUCGUCGAGACGGAUUUAAUGGUGAAAACGGAUUUUUAGUUCGCUUUUUUAUUUAGGAGAUACAACAUUUUUAAGCCGAAAACCAAAAAAAAUUCUGGUGAUGCCAUCUAUUCAUACGUGGCAAAAUGAGUGAUGGUGAGGCGUGUGGGCAAUGUGCAAACGCCCAUACGUAUGGGCGUUAACAUUUCCGGUAAUAUAAGAGAAAUUUGUUGGGGACGCUGAACGAAUAACGAUGGAGUGGUACUUUCCUGCUAAAUACUUAGGCUGGUUCUAAGAGCAACUCUAGCAGACCCGCAACAACUUAACCUGCAAAACGCGUUUGCAGUUUCACGAAGAUCGCGUUUGCGGGUCGAAAACUAGCGCGGCCGAACAUAAACUGUAUCUAAACCUGCAUAAUUUGAAAGAACAUUUUCGCGACAGAAAUUGCAUAAACAUAGUUCAUCACAUACUACAUAGUUCAUUACAUACAUGAUCAACAAACUAUAAGCAUAGUUCAUACUACAUAUUUCAUUAACUAGUACUAGAGGGGGUCGGAUCUGACGGCGGCGAGGUCGCGACAAAUGGACGACGCCGCGGAGGAGGAGGACGCUCAAUCCUCCUCGCCGGAGCUGCACUGGUCGACGUACUUCGCUGCCUGCUCCUCGCGGAUGCGGCGCCACUCCUCGGUCUUCUCCUUGGCGGCGAGGUUGGCGGCGACCGCCUACGGCCACUAGAGGUCUUCGAGCUCCUCGGCGUGGCGCCGGCGCUCCGCCUUCUCGCACACGCUCCGCUCGGCGAUGGCGGCUGCAACGGCGUCGACGUCGGGGACGUAGUCUUCCGGCCCGACGACUCCGCGGCGGUCGAGCGGAGCGGGCUCCUCCUUCACGGGGACGAAGGCGAACGCGUCCGCCUCCUUCCCGUCCUCCUCGUCCUCCGACCACUCCCUCUUCACGGGGAGAAGGCCCGCGCCGGAGGAGAAGGAGCUCCCGGCGUACGAAGACCUCGCGGAGGAGAAGGAUGCGCGCCGGCGGUCGUACUCCCCCGUCUCGCUCCGCUGGAAGCUCGGCGGCGACAGGCCGCGGUUUGGUCCACUUCCGGGCCCCGCGCUUCCUCGCGCCGUUCGACCGGACGCGCCGCUCGCGCUCGGGGUCCCUUCCGCCGCCGGACUGUUGCCGAAGCCGCGUCCGGAGCUCCACAUUGGCCCCACAUGGCAGCUGGAGGCGGGGCGGGUGGUCGCCGGCAGCGAGAAAUGUGGAAAGGGGGAAGGGGAAUCGCGUGGCUCGACGGCGGCGGGGGAUAGGGUUUGGACCCGCAAACGAGCCGCGGAGCCGCAGAUAUAGCGGUCGGGGCGUGCGGUUUGCGGGCCGCGGUAAAAAAAUUGCGGGCCGGGCGAGUAUGCGGGCUCUGUACUGGCCGGAAAAUUGGUCCGAGCCCGCAUACUCGCUGGAAUUUUGCGGGUUUGCGCGUUUUGCGGGGUCUGCUAGAGUUGCUCUAAUUGGAGUAUCAUAUACUAGUAUCAUAAGCUUAAAACAAUAUAUACUAGUAUAAUGCAUAUGAUACUAGGAUAUAAUACUACCUCCGUAAUGUAUAGUAUAAUAAGUUAUUAUUUUAUUAGGUUGUCUUACUAAUUGUCAUGCAUGACGCAAAGUCGUACAAUAUUUAAUAUGAUACGGUAUCAUGAUAUGAUACCACACCCUCCCUUUCCUCAUUUAAUUGUGUGCCGCAUCAUCCAAAAAGUCUAGUUGGCAUGCAUGAUACCACUUAUGAUACACCCAUUACGACCAACCUUAGAUGUCUCCAACACUAACCCGCAAAUAUACUCCGGCAUCCGUCUGUGAACAGGAGGGCAGUCCGCGGACACUGAUGUAAAAGCCGACCAUCUAAUGCUAUUAUGUAUAUGUCCGCUAGUAAAGUGCAAUUUAAAUAAAAGUCUGAUCCAUAACGCGCGUCGAAUCACAACAGCACCAGAUCACAUGUCCAAUAACAUCCAAAAAGCGACAAGUAUGCUUAGGUUUUACAUGCCCGAUGAUAAAAGAAUAUCCAUCCGACAGUCCGUGAAAAAAAAAGAGAAUUUUUGCCCUGUCAGGUCGGCAAUCCUAGCCUCCUCCGCGGUCAAGGUGUCGUCGCCGCCGCAUAUGCAACCUCCACCAACGCCUCCUCCUCCUCAUUGUCCGCCGCCUCCAACUCAUCUUUCUGCUGCUGCAACAUAUUGUGGUGAACGGCUUGCACGAUCAUUUUUUGCAUCGGCAUCCAAAGACUCCACCUUCAAGGACAACAUCUUGGCGUCCUCCGCAUCGGCUGUGAUCUUCACCUUCUUUUCUUCGAGAAUCGCCUUCUUCUCCUCGAGCAUGGCCUUCUUCUCUUUGAUCAAGGCCCUCUUCUCCUCGAGUGCCAACUUGUUCUCGAUCGCCUCCAUCAACAGUUUGAACCUCUUCGUCUUUUUUUCUCCUUGAUGUUAGACCACUUGAAGUAUGCCUCCUCCUCCUUCAAAAAGAUGUCCUCAAACUUCUCUGUCAACUUGGCAGCCGCACCUUGUCGCUUCACCCUCUCCUUCCCCCACUUCUUUCCCCGGAAUCAUCUUCUAAUCUUCGUGUACGGUUCUAUUAUUGGUUCGGUUGGAUCCCGGGUUUCUUCCUCGGUGGCUUGGGCAGCGCUAUUGGCUAUGAAAAAGGAUUCACUGUUGCCCAUUCAACUGUUGGGGAAUGCAGUAAUUUCAAAAAUUUCCUACGCACACGCAAGAUCCAUCUAGGUGAUGCAUAGCAAUGAGAGGGGAGAGUGUUGUCUACGUACCCUCAUAGACCCAAAGAAGAAGCGUUAUGACAACGCAGUUGAUGUAGUCGUACGUCUUCACGAUCCGACCGAUUCUAGUACCGAAAGUACGUCACCUCCGUGAUAUGCACACGUUCGGCUCGGUGACGUCCCACAAACUCUCGAUCCAGCUGAGUGUUGAGGGAGAGCUUCGUCAGCACGACCGCGUGAUGACGAUGAUGAUGAAGUUACCGACGCAGGGCUUCGCCUAAGCACUACAACGAUAUGACCGAGGUGGAAUCUGUGGAGGGGGCACCGCACACGGCUAAGACAACUGCCAACUUAUGUGUCUAUGGGGUGCCCCCUCCUCGUAUAUAAAGGAGUGGAGGAGGGGGGAGGGCCGGCCCUCUCAUGGCGCGCCCCAAGGGGAGUCCUACUCCCACUGGGAGUAGGAUUCCCCCCUUCCCUAGUUGGAGUAGGAGAGGAAGGAAGGAGGAGAGAGGGAGAAGGAAAGGGGGCGCCGCUCCCCAUCCCUAGUCCAAUUCGGACCCAAGGGGAGGGGGCGCGCGGCCUGCCCUGGCCGCCCCUCUCUGUCCACUAAGGCCCAUAUGGCCCAUUAUACUCCCCGGGGGGUUCCUUAACCCCCCAGUAAUCGGUAAUUACCCGAACUCACCCGGAACCAUUCCGAAGUCCAAACAUAGUCAUCCAAUAUAUCAAUAUUUAUGUCUCGACCAUUUUGAGACUCCUCGUCAUGUCUGUGAUCACAUCCGGGACUCUGAACAACCUUCGGUACAUCAAAACACAUAACUCAUAAUACCGAUCGUCACCGAACGUUAAGCGUGCGGACCCUACGGGUUCGAGAACUAUGUAGACAUGAACGAGACUCAUCUCCGGUCAAUAACCAAUAGCAGAACCUGGAUGCUCAUAUUGGUUCCUACAUAUUAUAUGAAGAUCUUUAUCGGUCAAACCGCAUAACAACAUACGUUGUUCCCUUUGUCAUCGGUAUGUUACUUGCCCGAGAUUUGAUCGUCGGUAUCUCAAUACCUAGUUCAAUCUCGUUACCGACAAGUCUCUUUACUCGUUCUUUAAUGCAUCAUCCCACAACUAACUCAUUAGUCACAUUGCUUGCAAGGCUUAUAGUGAUGUGCAUUACCGAGAGGGCCCAGUGAUACCUCUCCGAUACUCAGAGUGACAAAUCCUAAUCUCGAUCUAUGCCAACUCAACAAACACCAUCGGAGACACCUGUAAAGCAUCUUUAUAAUCACCAAGUUACGUUGUGACAUUUGAUAGCACACUAAGUGUUCCUCCGGUAUUCGAGAUUUGCAUAAUCUCAUAGUCAUAGGAACAUGUAUAAGUCAUGAAGAAAGCAAUAGCAAUAAACUAAACGAUCAAGUGCUAAGCUAACCGAAUGGGUCAAGUCAAUCACAUCAUUCUCUAAUGAUGUGAUCCCGUUAAUCAAAUGACAACUUAUGUCUAUGGCUAGGAAACUUAACCAUCUUUGAUUCAACGAGCUAGUCAAGUGGAGGCAUACUAGUGACACUUUGUUUGUCUAUGUAUUCACACAUGUACUAAGUUUCCGGUUAAUACAAUUCUAGCAUGAAUAAUAAACAUUUAUCAUGAUAUAAGAAAAUAUAAAUAACAACUUUAGUAUUGCCUCUAGGGCAUAUUUCCUUCAGUCUCCCACUUGCACUAGAGUCAAUAAUUUAGAUUACACAAUAAUGAUUCUAACACCCAUGGAGUCUUGGUGCUGAUCAUGUUCUACUCGUGAGAGAGGCUUAGUCAACAGGUCUGCAACAUUCAAAUCCGUAUGUAUCUUGCAAAUCUCUAUGUCUCCCUCCUUGACUUGAUCGCUUAUGGAAUUGAAGCGUUUCUUGAUGUGCUUGGUUCUCUUGUGAAAUCUGGAUUCCUUUGCCAAGGCAAUUGCACCAGUAUUGUCACAAAAGAUUUUUCAUUGGACCCGAUGCACUAGGUAUGACACCUAGAUCGGCUAUGUACUCCUUCAUCCAGACUCCUUCAUUUGUUGCUUCCGAAGCAGCUAUGUACUCCGCUUCACACGUAGAUCCCGCCACGACGCUUUGCUUAGAACUGCACCAACUUACAGCUCCACCGUUCAAUAUAAAUACGUAUCCGGUCCAUGACUUAGAGUCAUCCGGAUCAGUGUCAAAGCUUGCAUCGACGUAACCAUUUAAGAUGAGCUCUUAGACACCUCCAUAAACGAGAAACAUAUCCUUAGUCCAUUUUAGGUAUUUCAGGAUGUUCUUGAC